UGGAACAGAUGUUGUGUUAUACUCAUCACUGAUCCUAAGAUCCUGGGCAUGCUAGAGUGCCUAGGAGUGGAGUUUUCUCUGGGUGCUGUGGGACUGGCCACUGAGUUAGCACUAAAGAAUCUUCCCUGCAUUGUGAAGCUACUUUGCGAAUUGAGAACCUGAGCUCUCCCCAUGAAUGACAGGUCCCCAGAUGGAAGCAGAAGUCCUUUUGUUAGUUCUAAAGGAUCAGCACACUCAAGCCAGAAGGGAAUGUCAAGGAAAACAGAUUUUUGUUUACCCCAACAUAUCCUUUACCAAACAAGUUAAAUUUCUUCUGGGUGGUCAUAACUCUUAGGGCAGAGAGUAAUUUGACAUAUAAAAAGGAAGAAAUACUACAGCUUGAAAAGAAGAAAAUGGAACUCAUUUUAGCCAAAGAAGAAAGAGCAGGCUAAGGUCGCUACAUAACUCACCCACUGUAAGCCAAGACUCUCUUCUCAAGUGCUUCCUUAUAAAUCAGACUGGAACACACUGUCUUUCACUAUGUGCCCCAGGAGAAAAAUUGCUUUAAGUCAGUGAAAGUUUGUGAAAUAGAGAAUGGGAUUCAGAGGCAAGAAAUAGAGCAAUAAAACUCUUUUAAAUAUAAUAUAAAUCAAAA